CUCUCUGUGGUGCAAGGGGUUAAUGCAUCUGGCUGUUAACCAGAAAGCUGGUGGUUUGAACCCACUCAGGGACA